rnacentral:rRNA from 1 species
AGUGAACGCUGGCGGUAGGCCUAACACAUGCAAGUCGAACGGCAGCACAGUAAGAGCUUGCUCUUACGGGUGGCGAGUGGCGGACGGGUGAGGAAUACAUCGGAAUCUACUUUUUCGUGGGGGAUAACGUAGGGAAACUUACGCUAAUACCGCAUACGACCUACGGGUGAAAGCAGGGGAUCUUCGGACCUUGCGCGAUUGAAUGAGCCGAUGUCGGAUUAGCUAGUUGGCGGGGUAAAGGCCCACCAAGGCGACGAUCCGUAGCUGGUCUGAGAGGAUGAUCAGCCACACUGGAACUGAGACACGGUCCAGACUCCGACGGGAGGCAGCAGUGGGGAAGAUUGGACAAUGGGCGCAAGCCUGAUCCAGCCAUACCGCGUGGGUGAAGAAGGCCUUCGGGUUGUAAAGCCCUUUUGUUGGGAAAGAAAAGCAGCAGGUUAAUACCCCGCUGUUCUGACGGUACCCAAAGAAUAAGCACCGGCUAACUUCGU